rnacentral:piRNA from 1 species
UAGCACCAGUGCUGGACUUUCCCACGAAUC